CUUCAACACCACCUCAUUUCACAAGGCUCAUUCUUCUCCAAUAUCAUUAAACAUUCUACACUCUCAUUCAACUAUUCUUUGCCAAGACAACCAUGUUGUUGCCUGAGCAAGUCGUUCUCUCACUCCGUUGAACAACGGUAUUCCCAAACAGAACAAGAAGCCCUCGGCGUACUGUUUGCUUGUGAACAUUUCCAUCUUUACAUCUACGGCGCGAAAUUCAACAUCAUCACAGAUCACAAACCUCUUGAACACAUUUUUACCAAUCCCGCUGCUCGUUCCAAUGCCCGAUUGGAACGCUGGGCCCUCAAGCUUCAACCAUACCACUUCACCAUUUCC